rnacentral:rRNA from 1 species
AGUGAACGCUGGCGGCAGGCCUAACACAUGCAAGUCGAACGGCAGCACAGAGGAGCUUGCUCCUUGGGUGGCGAGUGGCGGACGGGUGAGGAAUGCGUCGGAAUCUGCCUUUUUGUGGGGGAUAACGUAGGGAAACUUACGCUAAUACCGCAUACGACCUACGGGUGAAAGUGGGGGACCGCAAGGCCUCACGCAGAAAGAUGAGCCGACGCCGGAUUAGCUAGUUGGCGGGGUAAAGGCCCACCAAGGCGACGAUCCGUAGCUGGUCUGAGAGGAUGAUCAGCCACACUGGGACUGAGACACGGCCCAGACUCCUACGGGAGGCAGCAGUGGGGAAUAUUGGACAAUGGGCGCAAGCCUGAUCCAGCCAUGCCGCGUGUGUGAAGAAGGCCUUCGGGUUGUAGAGCACUUUUGUCCGGAAAGAAAUCCUUUCGAUUAAUACUCGGGAGGGAUGACGGUACCGGAAGAAUAAGCACCGGCUAACUUCGUGCCAGCCGCCGCUGUAAUAC